GACGAACGCUGGCGGCGUGCCUAAUACAUGCAAGUCGAACGCUGAAGAGAGGAGCUUACUCUUCUUGGAUGAGUUGCGAACGGGUGAGUAACGCGUAGGUAACCUGCCUUGUAGCGGGGGAUAACUAUUGGAAACGAUAGCUAAUACCGCAUAACAAUGGAUGACACAUGUCAUUUAUUUGAAAGGGGCAAUUGCUCCACUACAAGAUGGACCUGCGUUGUAUUAGCUAGUAGGUGAGGUAAUGGCUCACCUAGGCGAGGAUACAUAGCCGACCUGAGAGGGUGAGCUGCCAACCUGAGACGGUGACACGGCCCAGACUCCUAGGGGAGGGAGCAGUAGGGAAUCUUCGGCAAGGGGGGCAACCCUGACCGAGCCACGCCGCGGGAGGGAAGAAGGUUUUCGGAUCGUAAAGCUCGGUUGUAAGUCAAGAACGGGUGUGAGAGUGGAAAGUUCACACUGUGACGGUAGCUGACCAGAAAGGGACGGCUAACUACGUG
rnacentral:rRNA from 1 species